UACGUAGGGUGCAAGCGUUAAUCGGAAUUACUGGGCGUAAAGCGUGCGCAGGCGGUGAUGUAAGACAGUUGUGAAAUCCCCGGGCUCAACCUGGGAACUGCAUCUGUGACUGCAUCGCUGGAGUGCGGCAGAGGGGGAUGGAAUUCCGCGUGUAGCAGUGAAAUGCGUAGAUAUGCGGAGGAACACCGAUGGCGAAGGCAGCCCCCUGGGUCAAGAUUGACGCUCAUGCACGAAAGCGUGGGGAGCAAACAGG
rnacentral:rRNA from 1 species